rnacentral:rRNA from 1 species
AUUGAACGCUGGCGGCAGGCCUAACACAUGCAAGUCGAGCGGAUGAAGGGUGCUUGCUCCUGGAUUCAGCGGCGGACGGGUGAGUAAUGCCUAGGAAUCUGCCUGGUAGUGGGGGAUAACGUCCGGAAACGGGCGCUAAUACCGCAUACGUCCUGAGGGAGAAAGUGGGGGACCUUCGGACCUCACGCUAUCAGAUGAGCCUAGGUCGGAUUAGCUAGUUGGUGGGGUAAAGGCCUACCAAGGGGACGAUCCGUAACUGGACUGAGAGGAUGAUCAGUCACACUGGAACUGAGACACGGUCCAGACUCCUAAGGGAGGCAGCAGUGGGGAAUAUUGGACAGUGGGCGAAAGCCUGAUCCAGCCGUGCCGCGUGUGUGAAGAAGGUCUUCGGAUUGUAAAGCCCUUUAAGUUGGGAGGAAGGGCAGUAAGUUAAUACCUUGCUGUUUCGACGUUACCAACAGAAUAAGCACCGGCUAACUUCGUG